GACGAACGCUGGCGGCGUGCUUAACACAUGCAAGUCGAACGGAAAGGCCCUGCGUUUGUUUGGUUCUCGUUUGGCGAACGGGGGAGUAACACGUGAGUAACCUCCCCUUGACUUUGGGAUAACUUCAGGAAACUGGGGCGAAUACCGGGUAGGAGCUCCUGCUGCAUGGGGUGGGUUGGAAAGUUUCGGCGGUUGGGGAUGGACUCGCGGCUUAUCAGCUUGUUGGUGGGGUAGUGGCUUACCAAGGCUUUGACGGGUAGCCGGCCUGAGAGGGUGACCGGCGACCAUGGGACUGAGAGACGCACCAGAAUCGUACGGGCGGCAGUAGUCGGGAAUCUUACACAAUGGGCGGACGCCUGAGGUGGAAACGUCGCGUGCGGGAUGCCCGGUUAUGGGUUGUAAACAGAUUUCGACUGUGAUGAAGCGUGAGUGACGGUAAUGGGUAAAGAAGCCACGGCUAACUACGUG
rnacentral:rRNA from 1 species